rfam:Candidatus Harrisonbacteria bacterium RIFCSPHIGHO2_02_FTLL_42_16 rifcsphigho2_02_scaffold_15160, whole genome shotgun sequence.
UCCGGGAUCGUCUAACGGUAGGACGUCUCCCUUUGAAGGAGAAAAUUGGGGUUCGAUCCCCUGUCCCGGAA